rnacentral:rRNA from 1 species
AUUCAGAGGAGCGCAGGGGUCCAAGUGAAACAAAAACGUCGGACGAAACGAAACAGACGGCCGAGACCGGCCGAGAGCGAGGCGUCCCGAAUCUCAACGCUUCAUUCAGGCAGCGGCGGCGCGAUGCAGGCACUGGCGCGAGCGGCGCGGGUGCUGUGGCCGGCGGCGGCGGCGGGGAGGGCGCAGGCGCAGGCGCAGACGCAGGCGGCGCGGGGGAUCGUGGUGCAGGUGAGGGACGGCAACCUGGAGCGCGCGCUGCAGGUGAUGGAGCGCAAGAUGCGGUCCAGCGGCAUCGAGCGGCUCAUCAAGCGCCGGACGGAGCACCACGUCAAGAACUCGGAGAAGCGCGUGCUCGCGCGCAAGGCGCUCAUGGCGCGCGUCCGCUCCCAGGAGCUCGGCAAGAGCCUCCGCGACAUCCUCAUCAAGAAGAUCAGGGGUCAGUAAGGGCAUCUCUAAGCGGGCAGCAUUUCAGCAACAUUCGACGGUACUACAGGGGGGGUUACAACGCUAUUCAUCAUGGGUGCUCCAUGUUGAACAUGUAAUCGAAUCUCCAUGGUGGGAUGUGGUAACUGAACUGAUGAUACUUUUUUGAACUACAAAUCUGUUUACAGCAGGUUGAUAAUAACUCACCUGCGUGCCAGGAAUCUUUUCACGUCUUGGAUCAUAGGGCAGGGUUAUGAUAAAUUGUUCGUCGAGGAAUUUUUGUGGUACGCCUUAGUAAUGUACUGUUCUUGGUGUCUCUGAAUCUGCUAUGGGUGCAUGUGC